AAAUUGAAGAGUUUGAUCAUGGCUCAGAUUGAACGCUGGCGGCAGGCCUAACACAUGCAAGUCGAGCGGUAGCACAGAGAGCUUGCUCUCGGGUGACGAGCGGCGGACGGGUGAGUAAUGUCUGGGAAACUGCCUGAUGGAGGGGGAUAACUACUGGAAACGGUAGCUAAUACCGCAUAACGUCGCAAGACCAAAGUGGGGGACCUUCGGGCCUCAUGCCAUCAGAUGUGCCCAGAUGGGAUUAGCUAGUAGGUGGGGUAACGGCUCACCUAGGCGACGAUCCCUAGCUGGUCUGAGAGGAUGACCAGCCACACUGGAACUGAGACACGGUCCAGACUCCUACGGGAGGCAGCAGUGGGGAAUAUUGCACAAUGGGCGCAAGCCUGAUGCAGCCAUGCCGCGUGUGUGAAGAAGGCCUUCGGGUUGUAAAGCACUUUCAGCGGGGAGGAAGGCGUUAAGGUUAAUAACCUCAUCGAUUGACGUUACCCGCAGAAGAAGCACCGGCUAACUCCGUGCCAGCAGCCGCGGUAAUACGGAGGGUGCAAGCGUUAAUCGGAAUUACUGGGCGUAAAGCGCACGCAGGCGGUCUGUCAAGUCGGAUGUGAAAUCCCCGGGCUCAACCUGGGAACUGCAUUCGAAACUGGCAGGCUAGAGUCUUGUAGAGGGGGGUAGAAUUCCAGGUGUAGCGGUGAAAUGCGUAGAGAUCUGGAGGAAUACCGGUGGCGAAGGCGGCCCCCUGGACAAAGACUGACGCUCAGGUGCGAAAGCGUGGGGAGCAAACAGGAUUAGAUACCCUGGUAGUCCACGCCGUAAACGAUGUCGAUUUGGAGGUUGUGCCCUUGAGGCGUGGCUUCCGGAGCUAACGCGUUAAAUCGACCGCCUGGGGAGUACGGCCGCAAGGUUAAAACUCAAAUGAAUUGACGGGGGCCCGCACAAGCGGUGGAGCAUGUGGUUUAAUUCGAUGCAACGCGAAGAACCUUACCUGGUCUUGACAUCCACAGAACUUAGCAGAGAUGCUUUGGUGCCUUCGGGAACUGUGAGACAGGUGCUGCAUGGCUGUCGUCAGCUCGUGUUGUGAAAUGUUGGGUUAAGUCCCGCAACGAGCGCAACCCUUAUCCUUUGUUGCCAGCGGUCCGGCCGGGAACUCAAAGGAGACUGCCAGUGAUAAACUGGAGGAAGGUGGGGAUGACGUCAAGUCAUCAUGGCCCUUACGACCAGGGCUACACACGUGCUACAAUGGCAUAUACAAAGAGAAGCGACCUCGCGAGAGCAAGCGGACCUCAUAAAGUAUGUCGUAGUCCGGAUUGGAGUCUGCAACUCGACUCCAUGAAGUCGGAAUCGCUAGUAAUCGUAGAUCAGAAUGCUACGGUGAAUACGUUCCCGGGCCUUGUACACACCGCCCGUCACACCAUGGGAGUGGGUUGCAAAAGAAGUAGGUAGCUUAACCUUCGGGAGGGCGCUUACCACUUUGUGAUUCAUGACUGGGGUGAAGUCGUAACAAGGUAACCGUAGGGGAACCUGCGGUUGGAUCACCUCCUUACCUUAAAGAA
rnacentral:rRNA from 2 species